GACGAACGCUGGCGGCGUGCUUAACACAUGCAAGUCGAACGGAAAGGCCCUGCUUUUGUGGGGUGCUCGAGUGGCGAACGGGUGAGUAACACGUGAGUAACCUGCCCUUGACUUUGGGAUAACUUCAGGAAACUGGGGCUAAUACCGGAUAGGAGCUCCUGCUGCAUGGUGGGGGUUGGAAAGUUUCGGCGGUUGGGGAUGGACUCGCGGCUUAUCAGCUUGUUGGUGGGGUAGUGGCUUACCAAGGCUUUGACGGGUAGCCGGCCUGAGAGGGUGACCGGCCACAGUGGGACUGAGAUACGGCCCAGACUCCUACGGGAGGCAGCGGUGGGGAAUAUUGCACAAUGGGCGGAAGCCUGAUGCAGCAACGCCGCGUGCGGGAUGACGGCCUUCGGGUUGUAAACCGCUUUCGCCUGUGACGAAGCGUGAGUGACGGUAAUGGGUAAAGAAGCACCGGCUAACUACGU
rnacentral:rRNA from 1 species